rnacentral:rRNA from 1 species
GUGGGGAAUAUUGGACAAUGGGCGAAAGCCUGAUCCAGCCAUGCCGCGUGUGUGAAGAAGGUCUUCGGAUUGUAAAGCACUUUAAGUUGGGAGGAAGGGCAGUAAGUUAAUACCUUGCUGUUUUGACGUUACCGACAGAAUAAGCACCGGCUAACUUCGUGCCAGCAGCCGCGGUAAUACGAAGGGUGCAAGCGUUAAUCGGAAUUACUGGGCGUAAAGCGCGCGUAGGUGGUUUUGUAAGUUGGAGGUGAAAUCCCCGGGCUCAACCUGGGAACUGCAUCCAAAACUGCAUGACUAGAGUACGGUAGAGGGUAGUGGAAUUUCCUGUGUAGCGGUGAAAUGCGUAGAUAUAGGAAGGAACACCAGUGGCGAAGGCGACUACCUGGACUGAUACUGACACUGAGGUACGAAAGCGUGGGGAGCAAACAGGAUUAGAUACCCUGGUAGUCC